CCAGGAUCUAGGGUAGGGUACCCCUAAGGAGCAGGCAAAAGGGACCCCUGCCCUGGGCAACCCCUCUCAGGAGGAGCCUGUGGGGGCACCAAGGCAGGGGCAUGGGGCAGGCAGGGUUUUGUGUUUGCUGGUGCAGUUUACAGCUUUUCAAUGAUCAGGCAGACACAGGACUCACGCCAGCUCCGGUCCCAAGCCCUGCAGCGCAAGGGCCGGCCUGUGGGGAGACCUCAGGCCCUCUUCUGAGUGGUGGCCAAGGGACUGGGGAGGGAGAGUGAGCCCAGACCUGAGCUCAGGG
rnacentral:lncRNA from 1 species